GACGAACGCUGGCGGCGUGCUUAACACAUGCAAGUCGAACGGAAAGGCCCUGCUUUUGUGGGGUGCUCGAGUGGCGAACGGGUGAGUAACACGUGAGUAACCUGCCCUUGACUUUGGGAUAACUUCAGGAAACUGGGGCUAAUACCGGAUAGGAGCUCCUGCUGCAUGGUGGGGGUUGGAAAGUUUCGGCGGUUGGGGAUGGACUCGCGGCUUAUCAGCUUGUUGGUGGGGUAGUGGCUUACCAAGGCUUUGACGGGUAGCCGGCCUGAGAGGGUGACCGGCCACAAUGGGACUGAGAUACGGCCCAGACUCCUACGGGAGGCAGCAGUGGGGAAUAUUGCACAAUGGGCGGAAGCCUGAUGCAGCAACGCCGCGUGCGGGAUGACGGCCUUCGGGUUGUAAACCGCUUUCGCCUGUGACGAAGUGUGAGUGACGGUAAUGGGUAAAGAAGCACCGGCUAACUACGUG
rnacentral:rRNA from 1 species